CAAUAGCGUAUAUUAAAGUUGUUGCGGUUAAAAAGCUCGUAGUUGGAUUUCUGCCGAGGACGACCGGUCCGCCCUCUGGGUGAGUAUCUGGCUUGGCCUGGGCAUCUUCUUGGAGAACGUAGCUGCACUUGACUGUGUGGUGCGGUAUCCAGGACUUUUACUUUGAGGAAAUUAGAGUGUUCAAAGCAAGCCUACGCUCUGAAUAUAAUAGCAUGGGAUAACACGACAGGACUCUGGCCUAUCGUGUUGGUCUGUAGGACCGGAGUAAUGAUUAAGAGGGACAGUCGGGGCGAUUCGUAUUCCAUUGUCAGAGGUGAAAUUCUUGGAUUUAUGGAAGACGAACAUCUGCGAAAGCAUUUGUCAAGGAUGUUUUCAUUGAUCAAGAACGAAAGUUGGGGCUCG
rnacentral:rRNA from 1 species